UCUCGGCUUUUGGCGCUGGGGAUCUCUUCCUCCGACGUUGCUGAUGUUCUCCCUGGAGCACGGCAGUUUAGAUCACCAUCUCUCGGGAUCUCGCUGCAAAAGAAGAACUUGGAGAGAACUUGGGGAGAGGAAAGCUGUAAGGCUACUCUUGCAAAGUUUGUUCUCUCUCC